rnacentral:rRNA from 1 species
UACGUAGGGGGCAAGCGUUGUCCGGAAUCAUUGGGCGUAAAGCGCGUGUAGGCGGACUGGAAGGUCUGGUGUGAAAGCCCGGGGCUCAACCCCGGAGGGUCACUGGAAACCGACAGUCUUGAGUCCGGAAGAGGAGAGUGGAAUCCUGGUGUAGCGGUGAAAUGCGCAGAUAUCAGGAGGAACACCUAUUGCGAAGGCAGCUCGCUGGGACGUUACUGACGCUGAGACGCGAAAGCGUGGGGAGCAAACAGG